AUUGAACGCUGGCGGCAUGCCUUACACAUGCAAGUCGAACGGCAGCGCGGGGCAACCUGGCGGCGAGUGGCGAACGGGUGAGUAACAUAUCGGAACAUACCCUAGAGUGGGGGAUAACGUAGCGAAAGUUACGCUAAUACCGCAUACGCACUAAGGUGGAAAGUGGGGGAUCUUCGGACCUCAUGCUCACGGAGUGGCCGAUAUCUGAUUAGCUAGUUGGUGAGGUAAAGGCUCACCAAGGCAACGAUCAGUAGCUGGUUUGAGAGAACGACCAGCCACACUGGAACUGAGACACGGUCCAGACUCCUACGGGAGGCAGCAGUGGGGAAUUUUGGACAAUGGGGGCAACCCUGAUCCAGCAAUGUCGCGUGAGUGAAGAAGGCCU
rnacentral:rRNA from 1 species